rnacentral:lncRNA from 1 species
CCAAUUGGAUUAACAUUUCCCCAAUAAGUCUCCUUCUGUGGAUGCUCAAGCGGGUCUCCAUAGACCUCACUGGUACUCGUCAGCAAAAACCUCGCCCCUACUCUCUUGGCCAGACCCAACAUAUUGAGUGUUCCCAUCACAUUAGUCUUGUAAGCCGGCCAUCACAGUCAAGGAUCUCAAAACAACACCCAAUUUUGAAAUCCAAGCAAUAAUUAAAGAACAACAAAAUGAGUUCAAUUGCCAUACACAUCAGUGUGUUCAUAAAUGGAAGAUAAAUUAAAUACAUUAGAAAGGAUAUGAUCGUCUUGACAGGAUUGUACUUGUAAUGAACCGGAGAAGCAGGGCAAGCGAGGUGAUAGAUCUGAUCCACCUCCAAUAGUAUAGGCUCCACAACGUCGUGACGAAUCAGCUCAAACCUCGGAUUCGAAAACAGAUGAACCAAAUUAUCCUUCCUCCCAGUGAAGAAAUUAUCAAUCACUAUUACCUCAUCACCGCGCGCAAUCAACUUAUCCACCAG